rnacentral:tRNA from 1 species
GUGAGGUUAGUUUAACAUAAAAAUAACAAAUUGUGGGUUUGUAGAUAAAUUUUUUUACCUUACU